rnacentral:rRNA from 1 species
CCUACGGGAGGCAGCAGUGGGGAAUAUUGCACAAUGGGGGCAAGCCUGACCCAGCAACGCCGCGUGAAGGAAGAAGGCUUUCGGGUUGUAAACUUCUUUUGUCAGGGACGAAGCAAGUGACGGUACUUGACGAAUAAGCCACGGCUAACUACGUGCCAGCAGCCGCGGUAAUACGGUGGUGGCAAGCGUUAUCCGGAUUGACUGGGUGUAAAGGGUGUGUAGGCGGGUCUGCAAGUCAGAUGUGAAAACCACGGGCUCAACCUGUGGCCUGCAUUUGAAACUGUAGUUCUUGAGUACUGGAGAGGCAGACGGAAUUCCUGGUGUAGCGGUGAAAUGCGUAGAUAUUAGGAGGAACACCAGUGGCGAAGGCGGUCUGCUAGACAGCAACUGACGCUGAGGCGCGAAAGCGUGGGGAGCAAACAGGAUUAGAUACCCCAGUAGUC